UGGAGGAACCAGACUGGAUGUUGGAAGUGAUGUGCGCCCCGCCCUGAAUGUGCUGGGUCCCUCCAGUGAGGAGCUGCAGCAGGGGAAGGCCACGCUCAUGUGUUUGGCCAACAAGGGCUUCCCCUCAGACUGGAGGCUGUCCUGGAAGAUGAGCCACAGCAGUGGCAGCAUCAGAGGGGAGGAGAGCAGGACUCCCGCAGUGCUGCACAAUGACGGCCGCUACAGCUGGAGCAGCACCCUGACACUCACUGCAGACCAGUGGGGGAAGGUGGGCUCUGUGACCUGUGAGGCCACCCAGGGCUCCCAGGCUCUGGUCUCAGAGACACUGAGGAGAGACCAGUGUUCCCAGUCCUGAUGUGACUCACUGGGACUCUGAUCCUGUUUUUCUUCAGCUACUGCUCUCUGUGUGCUCCAACUCUCUCUGUCUCUUUCUUUCUUUUUCUUCUCA